rnacentral:rRNA from 1 species
UCGUCACACUAUCAUUAACUGAAUCCAUAGGUUAAUGAGGCGAACCGGGGGAACUGAAACAUCUAAGUACCCCGAGGAAAAGAAAUCAACCGAGAUUCCCCCAGUAGCGGCGAGCGAACGGGGAGGAGCCCAGAGCCUGAAUCAGCAUGUGUGUUAGUGGAAGCGUCUGGAAAGGCGCGCGAUACAGGGUGACAGCCCCGUACACAAAAGCGCAUGUGCUGUGAGCUCGAUGAGUAGGGCGGGACACGUGGUAUCCUGUCUGAAUAUGGGGGGACCAUCCUCCAAGGCUAAAUACUCCUGACUGACCGAUAGUGAACCAGUACCGUGAGGGAAAGGCGAAAAGAACCCCGGCGAGGGGAGUGAAAAAGAACCUGAAACCGUGUACGUACAAGCAGUGGGAGCACAGGUUUACCUGUGUGACUGCGUACCUUUUGUAUAAUGGGUCAGCGACUUAUAUUCUGUAGCAAGGUUAACCGAAUAGGGGAGCCGGAGGGAAACCGAGUCUUAAYYGGGCGUUAAGUUGCAGGGUAUAGACCCGAAACCCGGUGAUCUAGCCAUGGGCAGGUUGAAGGUUGGGUAACACUAACUGGAGGACCGAACCGACUAAUGUUGAAAAAUUAGCGGAUGACCUGUGGCUGGGGGUGAAAGGCCAAUCAAACCGGGAGAUAGCUGGUUCUCCCCGAAAGCUAUUUAGGUAGCGCCUCGUGAAUUCAUCUCCGGGGGU